UACGGAGGGGGCAAGCGUUGUUCGGAAUUACUGGGCGUAAAGGGCUCGUAGGCGGCCAACUAAGUCAGACGUGAAAUCCCCAGGCUUAACCUGGGAACUGCGUCUGAUACUGGAUGGCUUGAAUCCGGGAGAGGGAUGCAGAAUUCCAGGUGUAGCGGUGAAAUGCGUAGAUAUCUGGAGGAAUACCGAUGGCGAAGGCGGCAUCCUGGACCGGCAUUGACGCUGAGGAGCGAAAGCUAGGGGAGCAAACGGG
rnacentral:rRNA from 1 species